rnacentral:rRNA from 1 species
AAUAGAUACCCAGGUAGUCCACGCCGUAAACGAUGAGUGCUAAGUGUUAGGGGGUUUCCGCCCCUUAGUGCUGCAGCUAACGCAUUAAGCACUCCGCCUGGGGAGUACGGCCGCAAGGCUGAAACUCAAAGGAAUUGACGGGGGCCCGCACAAGCGGUGGAGCAUGUGGUUUAAUUCGAAGCAACGCGAAGAACCUUACCAGGUCUUGACAUCCUCUGACACACCUAGAGAUAGGUCUUCCCCUUCGGGGGACAGAGUGACAGGUGGUGCAUGGUUGUCGUCAGCUCGUGUCGUGAGAUGUUGGGUUAAGUCCCGCAACGAGCGCAACCCUUGAGAUUAGUUGCCAGCAUUCAGUUGGGCACUCUAAUCUGACUGCCGGUGACAAACCGGAGGAAGGUGGGGAUGACGUCAAAUCAUCAUGCCCCUUAUGACCUGGGCUACACACGUGCUACAAUGGAUGGUACAAAGGGCUGCGAAACCGCAAGGUGAAGCCAAUCCCAUAAAACCAUUCUCAGUUCGGAUUGCA